rnacentral:ncRNA from 1 species
CCACCUCGAUUAGAUAUAGUCGAGUAUAAAUGGGGUGAAUUGCAAGAAAGUCUAAGGGUCAUAACCACCCGACCUUCCUGGAAGGUCGGGUGGUAUUAUGGAAGGACCUAUGAUGACUUGCAGCGAAGUAUUAUUUAUACAUAUAACUCAACUCCUUUGGAGUUGGGUUAUAAAGAAUAAUAAACGUUCAACGACUAGAGAGUGAGUAGUAUAACAAUAUCUCUCCACGAGCGCUUCAGAAUAUAUAUAAGUAUAUAUAUUUAUGACAUAGUCUGAACUAUAAUGAAAAUUAUAG